GUGGGGAAUAUUGGACAAUGGGCGAAAGCCUGAUCCGGCCAUGCCGCGUGUGUGAAGAAGGUCUUCGGAUUGUAAAGCACUUUAAGUUGGGAGGAAGGGCAGUAAGUUAAUACCUUGCUGUUUUGACGUUACCGACAGAAUAAGCACCGGCUAACUUCGUGCCAGCAGCCGCGGUAAUACGAAGGGUGCAAGCGUUAAUCGGAAUUACUGGGCGUAAAGCGCGCGUAGGUGGUUUUGUAAGUUGGAGGUGAAAUCCCCGGGCUCAACCUGGGAACUGCCUCCAAAACUGCAUGACUAGAGUACGGUAGAGGGUAGUGGAAUUUCCUGUGUAGCGGUGAAAUGCGUAGAUAUAGGAAGGAACACCAGUGGCGAAGGCGACUACCUGGACUGAUACUGACACUGAGGUGCGAAAGCGUGGGGAGCAAACAGGAUUAGAUACCCGAGUAGUCC
rnacentral:rRNA from 1 species